rnacentral:rRNA from 1 species
CCUACGGGUGGCAGCAGUGGGGAAUAUUGGGCAAUGGGCGCAAGCCUGACCCAGCAACGCCGCGUGAAGGAAGAAGGCUUUCGGGUUGUACACUUCUUUUAAGAGGGAAGAGCAGAGGACGGUUCCUCUUGAAUAAACCACGGCUAACUAAGUUCCAGCAGCCGCGGUAAUACGUAGGUGGCAAGCGUUGUCCGGAUUUACUGGGUGUAAAGGGCGUGCAGCCGGGAAGGCAAGUCAGAUGUGAAAUCCCCCGGCUCAACCGCGGAACUGCAUUUGAAACUGUGUUUCUUGAGUACCGGAGAGGUCAUCGGAAUUCCGUGUGGAGCGGUGAAAUGCGUAGAUAUAAGGAAGAACACCAGUGGCGAAGGCGGAUGACUGGACGGCAACUGACGGUGAGGCGCGAAAGCGUGGGGAGCAAACAGGAUUAGAUACCCUUGUAGUC